UUAUAAUUAUGAUUUCGUGUUUGAACGUUAGUGAUUAGAUGUAACGAAACCUCAUUGGCGUGCGUGUGUCAUUAUGUCCAAAAAGUCAUUAUUUGACAUUCGCUCUGUCUGUUCUGUUUACAUUGUUGUUUCGUUAUGAUUAUGAAUUAAAGUAGGAUUACUAAAGGUGAUAUUGGUGAUAAGUGAUGACAUUCCUUCCUUUCAUAGCUAAACACCCUAUGAUAGCAUUGUAAUUUAAUUAUUUCUACCAUUAUAACUGCAAUUAACCUAACCUAAAUGUAAUAUUUUGUACUUAGAUUCAUAUAGAAACCGCAAGAUCUAAAGGCUUUUAAUCAUGUUUUUAGUUAUCACUAAUAGAGCAGCAAUAGAAUGCUACAUUUGGCAUGUCUGUACACUAUAUUUUUUUUGGUGGGACAAAGCUCUAUAGAGAUUCUGGCAUUGUAAUUUUUCGACAUGAGUGUCAUUGUUGUGGUUUUUGGGGUCGCUAAUAUCGAAUACGGAGUGAAUCAUUCGAUUUUAUAAAAAUUGUCUUCUUCCGGAAUUAAUUGACCCAAGACAGGCAAGAAAUAUGAAUUUACGGGCUCAUUCCUCGCAUAUUCAAACAAAUAUCGUGAAAAUAAAGAAUUGAUGUUUAAUUUAUUUUAUGUAUUUUCUUUGUUUGUUCCACCCAGGUCUUGUCACGUUCGUUACCAUAAUUGUUUUUUUUUAUCUUGGCGACCCCGAAAACCAUUGAUAUAAAACCAUAAUAAAAUAUACAAUGUGAUAGGGGUGAGACUUCUAACCCGGGCUGAGUUCUACAUCUAAUUUUAUCGACAAAAGUCGGGGGUCGAAUGGGUCGAAUCCCCUCCCCCUUAAAAUUAUGGCAAUUUUAAUAUUUUUUUACUUUUUUUGAUAUCAAAGGUUGUAUGCGUCGUAGAAACAAAAAAAAAAACGACAAACGGUAGCUAAUAACCUUGGCUAACUAAUUCAUUACUUUUUUCAAAUGUUUGAUAAUGUUUUGGUGAGAAAAAAAUCAUUUGUGAAUUAUUUUUACCGAAAAAAUCACAAUUUUUCAAUAUUUUCAAUUAGGGGUUCAAACCCCCAUAUUAUUUUUUUUUGUCGAUAAAAUUAGAUGUAGUACUCAGCCUUAACGGGUUAGAAGUUCCACCCCUAUCACAUUGUAGAUUAAAAAAACUUAAAAACAUGUUUUUGUGAUGAACCGAACAAAAUAAUUUUAAUAUUAAUACUAACAGUAGGCGGAAAAUUUAGUAUUGUUAUGAGAAUAAUUAGUAUAAAAGAUAUGGCGAAAAAGUGCUCAUCACGCUAAAUAUCUUUUGUUGAAAGUAUAUUCAAAUCUCUUCAGGUUCGGCUGGGCUGGAGUCCAUGUCAGGGAUUCUACAUCCUCGAUUUUCGUAUGGCGCUAAAAUGUGCUCAUCACGCUGAACAACUUUUCUUAAGAUAGUAUAUUCAUAUCUCUUCAGGUUCAUCUGGGCUGUUAAGUGUCCACGUCAGGGAUUCCUGACCCUUUGAUUAAUUUCUACGAGGUAUUAAUUUGCCACCGGUCCUUGAUAAGUCUACAAAGUUUGAACGAAAUCGGUCCGUUUAAAAUGGGUAAAAAUCGAGUUGGAAGAGGUUGGUUACAUAGAAACAUACAAACUAACAAACACACAUAUAUACAUUCUUUACAUAUGAAACUAAAUAAAAGCAUGUAAAAAGUUAGUUUUGCGUUGGCACCAUUUGAUUUUUGAUUUCGAACGCUUACUUUCCGAAAACUAUGAAAAUGACACCAAUCGAAUAAUCCGAGCCCAAAUUCGGCACUGAACGGAAUUGAACAACAGAUAACACAAAACAUUUGAGUCUACGCACGCACUAAACAAAAUAAAAAUAUUAAAAAAGAAAGUAAGAAAAUAUUCAAACUUUCAAAGUAUCAAGUUCAUUUUGUCAUAAUUUCCGCAGCUAUCCGUGCGUAUGUGUGUAUUGUCGAGAGUCGUGUCAAUGUAGUGAUGCGAUUCGAUACCUGUCAAUUAUGAGAACGCGUCCUUAAGUCA